GGGUGUUUCAAUAAUCUUCUUCUAAGAUCUGUCUUCUUCUACUCAACAAGAAAGGAAAAGGAUGCAGAUCCAUCAUUGACCGAGUUCUAUUUUCGCACACAUCGGAAAAAGGAUCAAAGUUGGGUUGGAGUUCAUGCUGAAUCUACAUAUGAUAAAUUUGAACAGAAAAAGUUGGAGAUUUCUUCUCAGAAUCCAACUAUUCCAGGAGAGGACGGAGCUGAUAAUCAACCAACUAAUGAAAUGCCACCUGAUUUGGAUAUAUGG